UGGGGAGUACGAUCGCAAGAUUGAAACUCAAAGGAAUUGACGGGGGCCCGCACAAGCAGUGGAUUAUGUGGUUUAAUUCGAAGCAACGCGAAGAACCUUACCAGGGUUUGACAUCCAACUAACGAAGCAGAGAUGCAUUAGGUGCCCUUCGGGGAAAGUUGAGACAGGUGGUGCAUGGUUGUCGUCAGCUCGUGUCGUGAGAUGUUGGGUUAAGUCCCGCAACGAGCGCAACCCUUAUUGUUAGUUGCUACGCAAGAGCACUCUAACGAGACUGCCGUUGACAAAACGGAGGAAGGUGGGGACGACGUCAAAUCAUCAUGCCCCUUAUAUCCUGGGCUACACACGUAAUACAAUGGCAUUUAACAGAGGGAAGCAAUACCGCGAGGUGGAGCAAAUCCCUAAAAGGUGUCUCAGUUCGGAUUGCAGGCUGCAACUCGCCUGCAUGAAGUCGGAAUUGCUAGUAAUCGCGGAUCAGCAUGCCGCGGUGAAUACGUUCCCGGGCCUUGUACACACCGCCCGUCACACCAUGAGAGCCGGGAACACCCGAAGUCCGUAGUCUAACCGCAAGGGGGACGCGGCCGAAGGUGGGUUUGGUAAUUGGGGUGAAGUCGUAACAAGGUAACC
rnacentral:rRNA from 1 species